rnacentral:rRNA from 1 species
UGGUGGAGUGAUUUGUCUGGUCAAUUCUGAUAACGAACGAGACUCUAGCCUGCUAAAUAGUGCGCCGAUCGGUUCUGCCGGUCGAGCGGUUACUUCUUAGAGGGACAAGGGCCUCCAAGGCCCACGAGAAUGAGCAAUAACA